rnacentral:rRNA from 1 species
UACGGAGGGUGCAAGCGUUGUUCGGAUUUACUGGGCGUAAAGCGCGUGUAGGCGGAUCGUUAGGUCAGAUGUGAAAUCCCCGGGCUUAACCUGGGAACUGCAUUUGAAACCGGCGAUCUUGAGUACGGGAGAGGGAAGCGGAAUUCCUAGUGUAGAGGUGAAAUUCGUAGAUACUAGGAGGAACACCGGUGGCGAAGGCGGCUUCCUGGACCGAUACUGACGCUGAGACGCGAAAGCGUGGGUAGCAAACAGG